rnacentral:rRNA from 1 species
UACGGGGGGGGCAAGCGUUGUUCGGAAUUACUGGGCGUAAAGAGCUCGUAGGCGGUCUGUCGCGUCGGCUGUGAAAUCCCGAGGCUCAACCUCGGGUCUGCAGUCGAUACGGGCAAACUGGAGUGUUGCAGGGGAGACUGGAAUUCCUGGUGUAGCGGUGAAAUGCGCAGAUAUCAGGAGGAACACCGGUGGCGAAGGCGGGUCUCUGGGCAACAACUGACGCUGAGGAGCGAAAGCGUGGGGAGCGAACAGG